UGCAACUGGACCUGGACCUGGAGGUUGCCCCCUGGGCCCGUCGCCAUCGGUUGAGAUGAAGCAGGUGAAUAAGAAGGGGGUGGCGACGAAGAUGGUGGAGUGGCAUAUGCGAGAGGUGGAGGAGAUCAGCAAUUAAUUCAAGAGGGAGGUUGUUCUCAUCAACGGCUCAGAGGCGGAGCAAGUGGGCAAGGCCUCUUGCUCAACAAGAUUGCUGAGAUCUGUUAAUUUUAAUUUUUGAAAUGCUGAAAUCUGUUCAGAUGCUUUGUUUACUAGCUAAAAAAUUGCAGCAGAUAAGGACAGAAAUUUGUUGAUUUUUCUCAACAUGGUGCCGCUUGAUCAGUACUCAAUGAAGAUGAACUGACCAUCAUAGCCGGUGUUGAUUACAGGUAAACGCACUGAAUUUUCCAUUGUGCCAAAACUAACGUAUUAGAAUCUUUCUAAUUGUUGCUACCACAUUUCAUAGUAAGAACACGAUGGUGCAAAGGAAUCUCAUUAUCUAGCCAUAUGUAAUCUCGGUUUCUUAAUAUGCAAACUGUCAUAAGAGUUAGCCCACAUUAAUGUUGCUCCAUUUUUGCUAUCUAUUGAUCUAUGACAAAGGGGAUGUGCUGGCGCCAGUGCUUGUUGCUAACUUGCUAUUCAAAGAAAGGAGUGGAUCUGGCAAUAUGAAAAUCAAUAAAGGUCAUCUUUCCUAUGGCUUUUGUUAUUAGGUACAUGCAGUGUGUGUCACUUCCUUAGAUCAUAUCUGGUUCCUAAAGUUUUAGAUGUUUCAUAUAACCAUCGGGUGCCUUUUAGGAAAAAUAUGACCAUCUGUUAUCCCAUAUGGCAGUCCUUGUACAUGUUUCUUUUAUCUGCUUUAAAAAUUUAUUGUGAAGCAAAAUAAAGUUGUAUGUAAGAAUAUCAUAGGUUGUGUUUAUAUAUACAAGGAUCGCUUCAAGUUCCUAAUUUUUUUAGUGAAGCAUUAAGUUGAGAAUGUAGAAUGGGGGACCAAAAUACUUUUUAUGUAAGUACCGGAGGAGGAAUUGAAAUUAGUCUACCUUGUGUGUG
rnacentral:lncRNA from 1 species